rnacentral:tRNA from 1 species
AGCUUAGUGGUAGAGCAUCUGCUUUGCAUGCAGAAAGACCCAGGUUCAAUCCCUUG